AUCCCUGAAUAGAAACUUAAUCAAUCACACUGAAAUGAAAAUGUGUUAUUGAUAAAUCAGGAUGAGUUCUACUCAAAGCGGCUGAAACAAGAAAUUGAGUUAGUCUUCCAACAUCCACAGGAACAAGAGAUACAACCAUGGCAUCCCAUCCCAACUCCGGCACCUGAAUGAGUUUAUCAACAAUCAGAAAUUGCACAUAUUCGGGUUCUUCUGGCAAUUUCUCCUCCUAGUGAUGUUGUAGAGAAGGGAAGUUCUCAGAGAAGGGAAUCUCCUCAAAGGAAAACUUCUUUUGAAGUUGCAGAGACAAGUGAUGUUGUUAUUACAAUGCUGCCUUCAGCUUCUAAUGUUUGGAUGUGUACACAGGACCUAAUGUGCUAUUACUGGAUAGAAGUGUGAGGCCAUGGCUUUUUAUAGACUCUUCAACCACUGAUCCGCAAACUUCAAGAAAGCUUUGGAAAUUCACUUCAAGAACAGAAAGGUGUUGUUCAAUGUUGCAUAGCUUAUGAUUAGUUUGUUGAUGAUGAUUAGGUUUGGAAAUCCACCAUAAGAAUGGUUAAUUGAUCUUUUUUAUUGAUUUUGUUGUAUGUUUCAACCAAGUGAUGAUACAUUACAGUAAAAGUUUUUCAGUUAUGUUAUGAAUGUGAAGUAAUGUAUUAUCCAACAUUGACAAAAUCAAUCAACUCUUCUUA